UAAGUGAAACAAGGAACACAGGAGAGAGGACAUACUCCUUCCCCUCAGUUCUGGGAUCACAGUGGCAAA
rnacentral:lncRNA from 1 species